UACGUAGGGUGCAAGCGUUGUCCGGAAUUACUGGGCGUAAAGCGCACGUAGGCGGCUUUCUAAGUCAGGGGUGAAAUCCCGGGGCUCAACCCCGGAACUGCCCUUGAAACUGGAUGGCUAGAAUCCUGGAGAGGCGAGUGGAAUUCCGAGUGUAGAGGUGAAAUUCGUAGAUAUUCGGAAGAACACCAGUGGCGAAGGCGACUCGCUGGACAGGUAUUGACGCUGAGGUGCGAAAGCGUGGGGAGCAAACAGG
rnacentral:rRNA from 1 species